AUGCACGCUGGCGGCGUGCCUCAUCCAUGCAAGUCGAGCGAACAGACGAGGAGCUUGCUCCUUUGACGUUAGCGGCGGACGGGUGAGUAACACGUGGAUAACCUACCUAUGAGACUGGGAUAACUUCGGGAAACCGGAGCUAAUACCGGAUAACAUGUUGAACCGCAUGGUUCAACAGUGAAAGACGGUCUUGCUGUCACUUAUAGAUGGAUCCGCGCCGCAUUAGCUAGUUGGUAAGGUAACGGCUUACCAAGGCAACGAUGCGUAGCCGACCUGGGAGGGUGAUCGGCCACACUGGAACUGAGACACGGUCCAGACUCCUACGGGAGGCAGCAGUAGGGAAUCUUCCGCAAUGGGCGAAAGCCUGACGGAGCAACGCCGCGUGAGUGAAGAAGGUCUUCGGAUCGUAAAACUCUGUUAUUAGGGAAGAACAAAUGUGUAAGUAACUAUGCACGUCUUGACGGUACCUAAUCAGAAAGCCACGGCUAACUACGUG
rnacentral:rRNA from 1 species